AGCAGCCGCGGUAAUUCCAGCUCCAAUAGCGUAUAUUAAAGUUGUUGCAGUUAAAAAGCUCGUAGUUGAAUUUCGGGAUUUGUCCAUUGGUCGGGCCUCACGGUCCGUACUGGUGUGAUGGGUUCCUACCUUCUGAAUAACCAGCAUGCCAUUUAGUUGGUGCGCCGGGGAAGCAGAGCUAUUACCUUGAAAAAAUUAGAGUGCUUAAAGCAGGCUAUUUGCUUGAAUAGAUUAGCAUGGAAUAAUAAAAUAGGACGGCAUGGUUCUAUUUUGUUGGUUUCUAGGAUCACCGUAAUGAUUAAUAGGGAUAGUUGGGGGCAUUAGUAUUCAAUUGUCAGAGGUGAAAUUCUUGGAUUUAUUGAAGACUAACUUCUGCGAAAGCAUUUGCCAAGGAUGUUUUCAUUAAUCAAGAACGAAAGUUAGGGGAUCGAAGACGAUCAGAUACCGUCGUAGUCUUAACCAUAAACUAUGCCGACUAGGGAUCGGACGAUGUUAAUUUUAUAAUGACUCGUUCGGUCG
rnacentral:rRNA from 1 species